CCUACGGGAGGCAGCAGUGGGGUAUAUUGCACAAUGGGGGGAACCCUGAUGCAGCGACGCCGCGUGGGUGAAGGAGUUCUUCGUCAUGUAAAGCUCUAUCGGCAGGGAAGAAGCAAGACGGUACCUGACUAAGAAGCCCCGGCUAACUACGUGCCAGCAGCCGCGGUAAUACGUAGGGGGCGAGCGUUAUCCGGAUUCACUGGGUGGAAAGGGAGCGUAGACGGCCAUGCAAGCCAGGGGUGAAAGCCCGGGGCUCAACCCCGGGACUGCCCUUGGAACUGCAUGGCUGGAGUGCGGGAGGGGCAGGCGGAAUUCCUGGUGUAGCGAUGAAAUGCGUAGAUAUCAGGAGGAACACCGGUGGCGAAGGCGGCCUACUGGACCGCGACUGACGUUGAGGCUCGAAAGCGUGGGGAGCGAACAGGAUUAGAUACCCGUGUAGUC
rnacentral:rRNA from 1 species